GAUCUCGUGGUGUAACGGUUAGCACUCUGGACUUUGAAUCCAACGAUCCGAGUUCGAAUCUCGGUGAGAUCU
rnacentral:tRNA from 1 species